rnacentral:tRNA from 3 species
GCGGAAAUAGCUCAGUGGUAGAGCAUCUCGUUGCCAACGAGAAGGUCGCGGGUUCGAAUCCCGUUUUCCGCU